GGUCCUUUGGUAUAGUGGUAGUACAGCCUUCUUUCACAAAGCUAGCAUCAGUUCAAUUCUGAUAAGGAUCA
rnacentral:tRNA from 3 species